CUUGGGUAGGUGAAGCCACACUGCAGAAGAUUCUGGGGCCACGCAACUUAAGAAAAACGGUAGGGUCCACCGGGUCAACACCCACUAGACGCCAUGAGCUGUCGAGAGGAGCCGUUCAGCUGAGAGCACGCACACACCGCAUCUCGGAGCUCAGAUCGGAACUUUCUCAUGCGAGCGCGGCUUCCAAGAAGCCAUUCACCCACCCUCACCACGCAGCUCACCGCACAAGUGCUUCUACUGAGCUCCGCAGCAGCGUGUGUUGUGAACUGCAAUGCGACGACACAGAUUGAGUCCACAGUGAAGCCACACCCGGGAUGUAGCACCAAUAGCCUCACACGCACACAGGCAGGCACGCAGGCAAGCAGGCGCUGCCCUGAAGGUCUAAAUCUCUGCUCAAGCGUCAUCCUUGUGAUCGCACCCACCCGCAUUUGCCUCGGGAAAUGGUACCUGCAGCAGAAUUCUGUCGAAAUCACGUGGGAUUUGAACCGCCGACCUCUCUUUUCACAGCCUACCGUUUUUAUACAGUGGGUAAAUAUGAUAAUAAAAAGUGGCAAGUAAAUUUUUUUCCGUGUUCAUUUUUUUCCUCCAUUUGGUUCACCUAGAGAUACGUCCCUAUUUAUAGUUAUUUUUAUAACUGCAAAUGCUUUUUAGCUAUUCAUUGACUUUGAUGGAGUUGAGACCAUUAAAUGUAGCCGGUGCUCUGCAUAAUAUUUGCUCUAGUUUACAGUAAAUAUUGUAGCUAUAGUGUUUGGAAUGUAGUAGGAAAAAAUUGUUUAUAUUUUCCCCUUCUCUUUGUAUAUGUGAAAUAACCAUAUCAAUAUACUCCUCUCUUGUGUGUUUUGUA